GCCGUUUUUGAUGCUAUAUAAAUAUAAAAAAAAGUUGGAAUAAAAACAAAAAUAUUGGUACCAAAAAGAAAAACCAACUGGUUAUGAAAGUUCGUCUGAAAUAAAAGUUGUAAAGAGAGAGUAUAUCUUUCAAAUGGCCAGUGAGAUUGAAGAAGCUGACUUUGGCAAACAAAUUGAUUUAUCGGAACAUCGCAUUAUAAAUGAAAUAGCAUUUCCGAUUGAGCAAAAAACUGAUUUUACUAAAACCUUUUCUGUUCUUAAGUCAAAAUUGAAGAAGAAAUGACAUAUGGCAAAAAGAACCAAAACAUUAUUUAUUUUAAAAUAUCAUGACUGGCUUCAAGGCACGAUUGAUAUACCAAAUAAUGCCUUAAUUCCUGCCGAAAAUACACGCGCGCUUGGUCGCCCAAUUAAAGAUUUUUCUGAGUUGACUGAUUGUAGUAAACGUCGUAAAACAGCACAACUAAGAAGUAAUAAUGAUGCAGAAACACUGGCUUAUGCUGGUCAGAUGGCACUUCGUGAGAAAAGAAAUGUUGAUGGAGCCUAUGUGAUUAAGGAUAUCAUGUCAUCGCUAACACGUGGUAAUAAAUACCGCAAAGCUAUUAUAAAUAUUGGUAUCCCUAAGGCUAUAUUUUCGCAAUUAUUGGCAGAAAAAGCUUUGGCCAUGUUUUAAGGAGCAUCGUUAACCCGAAAACAAUACAUCGCAGAAAGUUCUAAAAAAAAACUAUCCUUGUUACUGUUUCAUGAAAUAACAGCCUGUCAUAAUUUGUUGUUAACCAUGGUAGAUGGCAAAGUGUGCAAUACAGCAACAAAUACGUCAUCGACCACGCGUUGCUAUUUAUGCAAAGCCACUUCUAUCGAUUUUAACAAUCUUUCAAAAAUAUCGAAAUUCCCAAUAGAUUUCAAAAACAUAGAGUUUGGAUUAUCAAUUUUACAUGCCAGAAUCCGAUUUUUCGAAACCUUGUUUUAACCUUAUAUAAUUAUAUUUAUAAAACUGGUUGUUUAUAGUACGGUGUUUUCCCUGCUCGCUGUAUGUAUAUAUGGUAUGUAUAUUUUACGGCUACAACUAUAAUAAUAAUUAUUGCACAUUUCGUACAAGAUAACUCUAGAAAAAUGGCAAGCGAGAACACCAACUGAAAAAAAUAUUGUUAAAGAACAAAAAGCAAAAAUUCAAGAACAAUUUAAAAAUGAACUUGGAUUGAUUGUCGAUGUACCCAAACCAUAUUAUGGGAACAGCAAUGAUGGGAACACCAGUAGAAGAUUUUUCAGUAAUCCAGAAAUAUCUGUAAAUAUAACCGGAAUAUAUAAAAAUGUGAUAGAUAAGUUUGCUAUAAUAUUGGAAGU
rnacentral:lncRNA from 1 species